rnacentral:rRNA from 1 species
GUCGCCUCCUAAAAGGUAACGGAGGCGCUCAAAGGUUCCCUCAGAAUGGUUGGAAAUCAUUCAUAGAGUGUAAAGGCAUAAGGGAGCUUGACUGCGAGACCUACAAGUCGAGCAGGGUCGAAAGACGGACUUAGUGAUCCGGUGGUUCCGCAUGGAAGGGCCAUCGCUCAACGGAUAAAAGCUACCCCGGGGAUAACAGGCUUAUCUCCCCCAAGAGUUCACAUCGACGGGGAGGUUUGGCACCUCGAUGUCGGCUCAUCGCAUCCUGGGGCUGUAGUCGGUCCCAAGGGUUGGGCUGUUCGCCCAUUAAAGCGGUACGCGAGCUGGGUUCAGAACGUCGUGAGACAGUUCGGUCCCUAUCCGUCGUGGGCGUAGGAAAUUUGAGAGGAGCUGUCCUUAGUACGAGAGGACCGGGAUGGACAUACCUCUGGUGUACCAGUUGUCGUGCCAAC